GUGUUUGUUCCUCUUGAGCACAGGUACAGAUUAGGAACUGGGUUGGGACAGAUCAUAGAAAAUAUCACUCAAGACAAGAGCUAACAGUAUGCUGAUCCUUAGUCUGCUGGGAGCAACCCUCAGCUCCAUUUAUUUUGCAGCCAGCAUGGCCCAGAAGGUGACUCAGGCUCAGACUUCAAUUUCUGUGAUGGAGAAGAAGACUGUGACAUUGGACUGUGUGUAUGAAACCCGGGAAAGCACUUACUACUUGUUCUGGUACAAGCAAAUGACGAGUGGGGAAAUGGUUUUCCUUAUUAAUCAGGAGUCUUACAAAAAGGAAAAUGCAACCAAGGGUCGUUAUUCUCUGAACUUCCAGAAUUCAGAAAGUUCAAUUAGACUCAUCAUCACAGCCACACAGAUGGAGGACUCAGCAGUGUAUUUCUGUGCUAUGAGAGAAGGCACAGUGGCAGAGCUGUCUACAAGAGCCACACAAAAACCUCAAUCAGAUGGAGACUCUGAGGAAAGACUCUACAGACAGGGAGAGGCGGGGCCUGUGGCAGCACAGGAGAGGGGCUGGCAAGAAGCCUUAGUUCAAUUCAUGUAG